rnacentral:rRNA from 1 species
UGAACGCUGGCGGCAGGCCUAACACAUGCAAGUCGAGCGGAUGACAGGAGCUUGCUCCUGAAUUCAGCGGCGGACGGGUGAGUAAUGCCUAGGAAUCUGCCUGGUAGUGGGGGACAACGUUUCGAAAGGAACGCUAAUACCGCAUACGUCCUACGGGAGAAAGCAGGGGACCUUCGGGCCUUGCGCUAUCAGAUGAGCCUAGGUCGGAUUAGCUAGUUGGUGAGGUAAUGGCUCACCAAGGCGACGAUCCGUAACUGGUCUGAGAGGAUGAUCAGUCACACUGGAACUGAGACACGGUCCAGACUCCUACGGGAGGCAGCAGUGGGGAAUAUUGGACAAUGGGCGAAAGCCUGAUCCAGCCAUGCCGCGUGUGUGAAGAAGGUCUUCGGAUUGUAAAGCACUUUAAGUUGGGAGGAAGGGCAUUAACCUAAUACGUUAGUGUUUUGACGUUACCGACAGAAUAAGCACCGGCUAACUCUGU